CACCAUUUAUUAACCAUCUAAUAAAACCCCAGUCAUGAGACCCUUCAGAUGCAUAUCAGGGGGCCAUAACCUUAGAGUACGAUUGCUAGCAUUAUCUUGGGGCAGCUGAGAUAAAGGAAAUUGACUUGCAGAAUCCUCGAGGUUGGGAUAAUAUUAAGCUAAGGUUCUCUCUUUGCCCCCAGCAAAGUGUCGUCAUCGAGGCAGCUGAGCUCCUGGAGGACGGUCACUCUGCCCGUUUCAAGGACUUGUCAGUGGGCGACAGAAUCAGCAGACUGGACAGAAGGGUGGAGAUCCAGUGCGGUGGAUGGAGAAAGGUGGAUGGGACAGGAUCUGGCACAGGCAGGAUUCUUAGCCCCUGUCAUCUCUGUCCCCAAACACGGCAUCCAGCGGGCAUCACCAACACCCGCGUUCAGGACACUCACCGACGAUGACCCUGCCGCGGACCCUGUCUCUCCUGCUCCACCCCACCCCUGAGUGGCUGAUGACAGGACAGGUAAUGGGGAUGGGUACAAGGUAAGUGAGUCUGUAAGAGAGAACGGUGCCCCCUCAGCUGCACUCAGAAGCGGGCAAGAUGGCUGGGGCCAGCAGGUCAGCUCGGCUUCCGCUCUGCAGGCGAGGUGGGUGUGAGGCCACACUCUCCAGAACUCUAGAAUCACAGCACAGAGAGGAAUGGAGCUUGUGAGGUGCCUCUCGGUCGACAUCAGCCUGCGCGAGGACGUUUGACGGGGAACCUUGAGUGUCCCCGGCCGGCGGAGGAAAGCCCCUCUCCGGCCUGAGCUGGUGUGAGCUGGGCCUACCCUGGCCCACUGGAUGGACAUGACUCUGGGUUUUCACGGCCACCAAGCCCCCUCUGCUGACACUCUUUUUUAGAUACGCUCAAGGCCUCAUCAGCUGCCCGUCAAUCCCGUGGCCCCGGGAGGCCGGCUACGUCUGUCCGCGUUGAGUCUGCUGGUCUCUGCUCCGUCAAAAAAUUCAAGUCACUGAAUUUAUAAUCCCACUUGCAGAGCACCAGCGAGCACCUCUGUUUCCAAGUCUUCCGGGGACAGGUAUCGGCGUGCUGCCCAGGCACCGGUGGGUGGCUCCCGCUGCUUUCCUGAUGCUGUCACGGCUCUGGCAGCUGGCGGACAGCCCGGCAGAAUGGAGGCCUGUCGAGCCGCCCCUUCUGCAGAAGCCACCGUGACAGGCCCCUGCCCCCACCCACGUGGCAUCAUCUCGACCGUACUGUAACGCUGCAGUUAGAAAGGGAGACGAAGUGACUCCUCAGGCAGACCUCUCUGGGAUGCUGGAUUCUUUCAAACUUAUUUCUCGGGGCGCCUGGGUGGCUCGGCCAGUUGAGCGUCCGACUUUUGAUUCUGGCUCAGGUCAUGACCUCAUGGUUCACGAGACUGAGCCCCGAGCUGGGCUCUGCGCUGACAGCACGGAACUUGCUUGGGAUUCUCUCUCUCUCUCCGUUGCUCUCUGGCCCUCCCCCACUCAUGCUGUCUUUCUUUCUCAAAAUAAAUAAAUAUACUUUGAGAAAAAAACUUAUUUCUCAUGACUUUUCAGGCUAAGCCUUCUCUUCCCUGUCUUUGCAAAACACAGGAUUUCAAGCAUAGGUCUAAGUACUGAUUCAUGGUUUUACAAGCCAUCGUUCUGCGGUCAUGGGUGACGAAAGCCCAACUCGCACAGGCGUACGUAGAAAGAAGGGACUCUGUUGGCUCACAAAACUGAAGGGGGGGCGCGGCAGCCCCCAGCGUUGAAUGUGGCUGGUUCUGGAGCCUCAAGUGAUGUCAUCUGGAACCUGCCUUCUUUGUCUCUGACCUCGGAUUCCUCUACAUGAUGUCACCCUCAGGAAGGCUUUCUGCUGGAAGCUUUGGCAUACAUGUGGUCAGCUCAACACAGUCAGCAAAAAAAAAAAAAAAAAAGGAAGCAAAGCAGUCUGGGUUACCAGACUUUGCAAAGAUUUGGGACAUACUCAUACUAAAAGAAUGAUUCCUUGUCGAUGUGAAAGUCAAAUGUCACUAAGCACCCCGUAUUUUAUCUGGCGACCCCAGUCCAGCACAGCUCCCAGGACCGAAACUGGCCAGUUGGGAUCACGUACCAUCCCAGACCCAGUCGGUGCGGUCAGGAGGAUGGGUUACGCCGAGUGGCAGCCUGGGGUCACCUCCCUAUUUCUGGAAAGGGGGCAGCAUGGUCGGCCCUCUGAGUAUAAUACAUGCCCCAGGGGAGGGAGGUGGGUCCCUCCCCAAAUAACUGGGGUGCUGACCCUAGAAGGAGGGGGAUGAGCCCUGCACAGGUGAAAACAACAGAUGUCUACACGGUGACCUUGAAGGUCCCAGACAAUAGCGAAAGUUAUAAAACUCCACGGUGGCACACCAUAGUUUACAAGGCACUUUCCACACUAGUCUCUCCUUUGCCAUAUACUCCUGUUUGGUCGGCAGGUAGUAUAAUCACUCCCUGUAUGAGUUUGCCGGGGCUUCCGUAACAACGUAGCCCAGAAUUGUGGGGCUUCAACAACAGACAUCCGUUUUCUAGGAUUCUGGAGGCCGGAAGUCCAAGGUGAAGGUGCAGACAGGGCUGGUUUCUUCCAAGGCCUCCCUCUUUGGCUCCUAGAUGGCUGUCGUCUUUCUUUGCCGUGUCUUCACGUGAUCUUCCCUCUGUGUGUAUUGUGUUUGUGUGUCCCCAUCUCCUCUUCUUAGAAGGACACCAGUCAUGGGGACGCCUGGGUGGCUCAGUCGGUUGAGCAUCCGUCUCAAUUUUGGCUCAGGUCAUGAUCUUGUGGUUGGCGAGAUGCAGCCCCGUGUGGGGCUCUGUGCUGGCAGCAUGGAGCCUGCGUGGGAUUCUCUCUUUCCCUCUCUCUCUGCCCCUCCCCUGCUCUCUCUCUCUAAAUAAAUACGUAAACAUUAAAAAAGAAAAGGACACCAGUCCUAUUGGAUCAGGGCCCACCCUAGUGAUCUCAUUUUAACUUAGUUACCUCUUUUCAGAUCCUAUCUCCUGUGAAAGGUGAAAUGAAAUGGAGUCGCUCACGUCAAGGGUUUUACAAGGGAGCCAGGGGACUAUUAGGGAGGUGGUCCUCGAGUACAUCCUCAUUGGGUAGAACUUCUGAACUGGGCCAAACCACAAAUGUUCCAGGGACUCUGCACGAACACCUGUAGUUGCCACAGGAAUGGACUUCUGCUUGGCGGCAUCCUUGGUGACCAACGACGUCCAGCCACCACUGGCUUUCUGCCACUAACACCAAUCAAAAUUAUUUGUGAACAACAUACACAAACAUUCCCUUGUGUCUUCAGAAACCUGACUUGUGUUCCUCAUGGGACACAAUUUGGGCUGCUACCCGAAUCUGUGCCCCCCCCAAAAUGCAAUUCUGGGACCCCCAAAUAAAUGCUUUCGUUUUAUUUCA